CCCUUAGAUGUUCUGGCUGCACGCGCGCUACACUGACGCACGCAACAGGUGCCUGCUCCGAGAGGACUGGGUAAUCAUUUGAGUGUGCGUCGUGAUGGGGAUAGAAUAUUGUAAUUAUUACUCUUCAACGAGGAAUUCCUAGUAAGCGCCAGUCAGCAGCUUGCGCUGAUUACGUCCCUGCCCUUUGUACACACCGCCCGUCGCUCCUACCGAUGGGUGAUCCGGUGAAUGAUUCGGACUUCAGCGGCUCCCCUGGGGUGCGCCGGAGAAAGUUUUGUGAACCUUAUCACUUGGAGGAAGGAGAAGUCGUAACA
rnacentral:rRNA from 1 species